rnacentral:rRNA from 1 species
AUACGGAGGUGACUAGCGUUGUUCGGAAUUACUGGGCGUAAAGCGUACGUAGGCGGAUCAGAAAGUAUGGGGUGAAAUCCCAGGGCUCAACCCUGGAACUGCCUCAUAAACUCCUGGUCUUGAGUUCGAGAGAGGUGAGUGGAAUUCCGAGUGUAGAGGUGAAAUUCGUAGAUAUUCGGAGGAACACCAGUGGCGAAGGCAGUACACUGGCCUGAAACUGACGCUGAGGUGCGAAAGCGUGGGGAGCAAACAGGAUUAGAUACCCGAGUAGUCC